rnacentral:rRNA from 1 species
UACGGGGGGAGCAAGCGUUGUUCGGAUUUACUGGGCGUAAAGGGCGCGUAGGCGGUCGUGACAAGUCACUUGUGAAAUCUCCGGGCUUAACUCGGAACGGUCAAGUGAUACUGUCGGACUAGAGUACAGAAGGGGCAACUGGAAUUCUCGGUGUAGCGGUGGAAUGCGUAGAGAUCCGGAAGAACACCGGUGGCGAAGGCGGCCCGCUGGGCAAUGGCUGACACUGAGGCGCGACAGCGUGGGGAGCAAACAGG